rnacentral:tRNA from 1 species
GCCGUGAUCGUCUAGUGGUUAGGACAUUGCGUCACGGCCGCAAUAACCCAGGUUCGAAUCCUGGUCAUGGAA